AAGGACACAAAUCACUGAGCUUUUGAAUUUUGGAUUAACUCUAUCCAUUUUAUUUCUGCAGUUCUGGACUUUCCCUGGACAGAGAUAUUCUCUGCAACAAGAAAAGCAAGAGGCUCCCUCCGUUGCAUGUGGAUAAAAUCGAGGCAGAGAAGAGCAUAUGCAGAUCAGAUUCUGCAGCUGCACACACAUGGCUGGAACACUCUUGAGAGGCC